rnacentral:rRNA from 1 species
UAGCCGUUUGGAGCUAGCCGUCGAAGGUGGGACAAAUGAUUGGGGUGAAGUCGUAACAAGGUAGCCGUAUCGGAAGGUGCGGCUGGAUCACCUCCUUUCUAAGGA